rnacentral:rRNA from 1 species
GAUUUACUUCGGUAAUGACGUUGGGAAAGCCUUUGGCGGAUGGGUGAGUAACACGUGGGGAACCUGCCCCUCCCUCUGGGAUACCAUUUGGAAACAGGUGCUAAUACCGGAUAAUAAAGCGGAUCGCAUGAUCAGCUUUUGAAAGGCGGCGUAAGCUGUCGCUAAGGGAUGGCCCCGCGGUGCAUUAGCUAGUUGGUAAGGUAACGGCUUACCAAGGCGACGAUGCAUAGCCGAGUUGAGAGACUGAUCGGCCACAUUGGGACUGAGACACGGCCCAAACUCCUAUGGGAGGCAGCAGUAGGGAAUCUUCCACAAUGGACGCAAGUCUGAUGGAGCAACGCCGCGUGAGUGAAGAAGGUUUUCGGAACGUAAAGCUCUGUUGUUGGUGAAGAAGGAUAGAGGUAGUAACUGGCCUUUAUUUGACGGUAAUCAACCAGAAAGUCACGGCUAACUACGUGCCAGCAGCCGCGGUAAUACGUAGGUGGCAAGCGUUGUCCGGAUUUAUUGGGCGUAAAGCGAGCGCAGGCGGAAAAAUAAGUCUAAUGUGAAAGCCCUCGGCUUAACCGAGGAACUGCAUCGGAAACUGCUUUUCUUGAGUGCAGAAGAGGAGAGUGGAACUCCAUGUGUAGCGGUGGAAUGCGUAGAUAUAUGGAAGAACACCAGUGGCGAAGGCGGCUCUCUGGUCUGCAACUGAC